AGCUCUUCAGGUUAGCUUUUAGCAACAAAACACAAUCUGACUAAUCACUUGUAAAUUGGAUGGAUUAUCUUGUGGAUUAUCUUCCGAAGCUGCUGUUCUGCUUCUAAAAGAGGACACUGGGUAAUCGCCAUCGCUGUCUGCCUGACAUGGCCUGGGGUAGAGGGACGUGGAGCAGGAGGAAAAUGUGUUUUUGUCUGUCUUCGGUCGUCCCCGGUGAGAAGCGGCGCUGAACUCUUCCCAUCCUGUGUUUUAAAGCAGCUUAAGUGCUCCUCCAUGCCGCUGAUUUCCUUGUAGGCCUU